CAGGGGGCAGCUAUACAUGCAGUCGAGCGGACCGACGGGAGCUUGCUCCCUUAGGUCAGCGGCGGACGGGUGAGUAACACGUGGGUAACCUGCCUGUAAGACUGGGAUAACUCCGGGAAACCGGGGCUAAUACCGGAUGCUUGAUUCAACCGCAUGGUUCAAUCAUAAAAGGUGGCUUUUAGCUACCACUUACAGAUGGACCCGCGGCGCAUUAGCUAGUUGGUGAGGUAACGGCUCACCAAGGCGACGAUGCGUAGCCGACCUGAGAGGGUGAUCGGCCACACUGGGACUGAGACACGGCCCAGACUCCUACGGGAGGCAGCAGUAGGGAAUCUUGCGCAAUGGACGAAAGUCUGACGGAGCAACGCCGCGUGAGUGAUGAAGGUUUUCGGAUCGUAAAACUCUGUUGUUAGGGAAGAACAAGUACCGUUCGAAUAGGGCGGUACCUUGACGGUACCUAACCAGAAAGCCACGGCUAACUACGUGCCAGCAGCCGCGGUAAUACGUAGGUGGCUAGCGUUGUCCGGAAUUAUUGGGCGUAAAGCGCGCGCAGGCGGUUUCUUAAGUCUGAUGUGAAAGCCCCCGGCUCAACCGGGGAGGGUCAUUGGAAACUGGGGAACUUGAGUGCAGAAGACGAGAGUGGAAUUCCACGUGUAGCGGUGAAAUGCGUAGAGAUGUGGAGGAACACCAGUGGCGAAGGCGACUCUCUGGUCUGUAACUGACGCUGAGGCGCGAAAGCGUGGGGAGCGAACAGGAUUAGAUACCCUGGUAGUCCACGCCGUAAACGAUGAGUGCUAAGUGUUAGAGGGUUACCGCCCUUUAGUGCUGCAGCAAACGCAUUAAGCACUCCGCCUGGGGAGUACGGUCGCAAGACUGAAACUCAAAGGAAUUGACGGGGGCCCGCACAAGC
rnacentral:rRNA from 1 species